UGAUUCUGCAUUUCUUAGUGGUGUAAAUCAAGUGUACGAGCACUUUUCAGAACAAAUUACUACUAGAACCAUUUUUUUCCUUGAAAGAAUUAACUUGGUGCUAUAUAUGUCUGAAAACUAAUUUCUUCUUAAAGCUGUUCAGAGUGAAAGUUUGUUUUGGCCAAAGUAUACAUUUACAUUGAAACACUGAUCAAAAUACCAUCUAGGUUUAAGAGAUGAGUGCCUGGGGUGCCUCUCACCUGCCAUCAUCAUACCCAUAGUACUGCCCUGUGUCAGAGGUUCCCAGGGGCCACUGUUUCGGGCUGGUGCCAGCAGGACACUUCCCUGGAGCUGCCAGGGUUGUGGUUUAGGGACAGUUCAGCUGUAUUCACAUGGUUGCAUGGUUUUGUAGGUAAUGUUUUUCACAACAUUCUCCCUCUGGAACAAACAUCAGAGACUCCACUUCUCAUCUAGCAGCUAUAACUCCUCCCUCUUCUGCAGAUUGUAUUUUGAGCACUCUCACUCCACUAUAGCUAGGCUUUAUUUAUUGACUGUCAGCCAUGCAGUGCUGUUUGCAGAGAACACAAAAAUGAGUCAUCAGCUGGACAUUCUGGGUUCCCUGAAUACAUUCUUCCGGAGCUUGAACUGUGUUCCUUCAACAUUUCUACUGCUCUUAAUCAAGACAAGGAAACCACCUCAAAAUACAACUGGAAGAUACUUUAAGAAGUUGUUCUCUCAUGUUUUCUUUCAAGGUGAGUACAAAUGUAUGUUUUGAGAAGCCUAAUUAAAGCUAACUGCCAAUGAAGAAAUGAUGGGCUUGCUUGUUUCAGCCAUCCCUAGGGGUAUGCCCUUCCCAACUGAAUUAAGUUGCCACUGUGUUUCACUAAUGUGCAUCUGAUGCUUAAUGAAUUGGGGUGUUAUUACCCCUGGUUAGAAGUGGUAUAAAAUUGAGUCCAAGGCCUUUCCAUUCAUUUUGCUAAUUAUUCUCUGCAUUCAUUGUACUCAGAUGAAAUGAUGACAGACUCCCUGUUGUGCAGGAUUUGGACACUUCACACUUGGAACAAAAAUUGAACUGAUGAUCUCUACAGCAUUAUUGUCACAUUUGUGAGUUUUUGUGCCAGGAAGCAAUAAGCUGUGAACUGCUCUAUUUCCAGUCUCUCAUCCCUCUGGGGAUGGGAAGGAAAACCCUUUCUUUGUAUGUCCUUCUUCAGUUUCAUAUCUAGAUCAUUUUGGCACACAGUCCUAAAUUAGAGGACCAAAUACCAGAUCAAGAGUUAACAGUCACCUCUUCAGCCUGUGUUUUUCCAGAAAUGCCCAACAUUUGUGUGAGUGUGUGUAAGUGUACACAAACAGGCUGAAAACAUACAAUAUAUACUCACAUCUGCAUGUUACAGGUAAUAAAGGCACGUUGCUGAGAUGCA
rnacentral:lncRNA from 1 species